rnacentral:rRNA from 1 species
GAUGAACGCUGGCGGCGUGCCUAACACAUGCAAGUCGAGCGAUUCUCUUCGGAGAAGAGCGGCGGACGGGUGAGUAACGCGUGGGUAACCUGCCCUGUACACACGGAUAACAUACCGAAAGGUAUGCUAAUACGAGAUGAUAUAUGGAAGUUGCAUGACUUUUAUAUCAAAGCUUUUGCGGUACAGGAUGGACCCGCGUCUGAUUAGCUAGUUGGUAAGGUAACGGCUUACCAAGGCGACGAUCAGUAGCCGACCUGAGAGGGUGAUCGGCCACACUGGAACUGAGACACGGUCCAGACUCCUACGGGAGGCAGCAGUGGGGAAUAUUGCACAAUGGGCGAAAGCCUGAUGCAGCAACGCCGCGUGAGCGAUGAAGGCCUUCGGGUCGUAAAGCUCUGUCCUCAAGGAAGAUAAUGACGGUACUGAGAGAGCCCGWUWUYC